GGAAUAGCUUGGGAAGAUUUCUCUCAACGUCCCAAAUACACAAAAGCAAUGUAAGACGGAGCAAGCCUUAAACAUUUUGCAGCAUUAUCGAUUCUAAAAAGCCAUGCGCUUACACCGUAUCAUACAAGUGCUUCUCAUUUUCUAUAUCUAUGAUGUUUUCCAAUUCGUGGCUGGUUCCUCCCAACUUAGCGUUGGCGACGAGACCGUGCACAACCCGUUACUCAAAACCAAAGGAUUGUACGAGAUCGUCCAGAAGGAUGCAGCUGGCAAGCAGCUUCCUGGCAAGCAGCUGCCACUUGGGUACGUGUACCGCACCGUCGAUGGCUUGGGUCUGGCCACUCAGUGCUUCUACGAAUGUCGCAUGGACCCCCAGUGCAAGUCGUUCACCCACAAUGAGCGAAAUGGAUCAUGUUUCUUGAACAGCAACUCCUUUACUGAGGUUACCCCGGUUGACGCCUUGGACGGGAUCACUUGCUACGAUGGAGACUCCUUCUCAAUCCCUGGGGAAGCGCUUGGCUCUUGUGCCCAAGUCCCUUGCAAGAAUGGCGGUAUCUGCUUGGACAAGUAUGAUGAAGAUACGGAAAAGAAGGACUAUGAGUGUGUAUGCCCAGACGAAUGGUCAGGGAGGACAUGUGAAACACAAGCCGGGGUUGCAGUGUGGGAGGAUUGGAAACCCUGGGGCGACUGCUCUGUAUCGUGCGGCACAGGGUACAAGGAGAGAACCAGGAGGUGCAUUGACAGUCUCACUAAGGAGGACCGCAAUGAGCAGGAAUGCUGGGGAUGCUCCCUCGAGAUCCAACUCUGUACUCUAAAACCAUGUCCAGUUUGGGAAGUCUGGUCGACCUGGUCCGACUGUAGCACCAACCGAACGUGUGGGCCUGGGAUCAAGACUCGUACUAGGACUUGUAGGAAUGGGGGUACCAUCGACAAGGAUCCGGGAUGCUUUGGCAGGCCGACUGAAAACGUCCCUUGCGAAUCUCCAACAUGCCAAACGAUAAUCCGCCUUGAUGGGUCCUCCAACUACGGAGAGGGGCGGGUCAUGAUCUACAAUGAUCUUGACCAGACGUGGGGUCAAGUCUGCGGCACAGGAUUGGACAAGCAGGAUGCUGACGUUCUAUGCCAUCAGGUUGGACUUCCAAGGGCAGCGGAGGUUGUAACGGGCAGUUCUUUCGGAAUUUCUGGCGAUCCUUUCUUCUUGGGUAAUCCUCAGUGUGAUGGCACGGAGCCCUCCAUUCAGAGAUGCCAACACAGUGGUUGGUCGACUAACAUCGAUUGCCAUGGGGGGCCCGCCAAAAUCAAAUGCGCGGUAAACGGUGCCUGGAACUGCUGGUCAGAGUGGGACCCGUGUUCAGUCACGUGUGCGGAUGGUAUACGAACGAGAACGAGGCUAUGCGAUGAUCCACCGAAUCUGAAUGGUGGCGCUGUAUGUCCCGGUGCUCGAAAAGAGACUUUGCCGUGUAAUCCUGGAGACUGCCCUGUUGAUGGUCAAUGGUACCCUUGGCUGGCCUGGAGUGAAUGCUCAAAGAACUGUGGAGGGGGCAGGCAGACUCGAACCAGGUCGUGUAAACAGCCCGAGAAUGGUGGCAUGAUAUGCAUUGGUAGUGCUUCGGAGGAACAGGAUUGCCAAACCCAACCUUGCCCAAUCGACUGCACUUGGAAGGAAUGGCAGAACUGGGGACCUUGCAAUGCCACAUGUGGAACCGGCUACAUGACCAGGACCAGGGGUUGGAACGAGGCAAAGUACAAUGGCAAGGCGUGUGAGGGCGAGAGCAUUGAGGCUGCCAAGUGUAAUGAGGAUCCGUGCCCUGUUGAUGGCUACUGGAAACCAUGGACCCAAUGGGAAAAGUGUGACGUCAGCUGUGGCGGAGGACUUCGAUCCAGAACUAGGGAAUGCGUUCAGCCGAAACAUGGCGGAGUUGAAUGUGAGGGUGAGGGUCGAGAGGACGAGAUUUGUGGAACAGAACCUUGCCCGAUCGAUGGAGUGUGGCUGUCUUGGAGUGUCUGGCACAACUGCACAGCACUUUGUGAAGGAGGAAAUCAGACCCGUACCAGGGAUUGCAAUGGUCCUUACCACAAUGGUAGAGAGUGUGAGGGACUUGGCAAUGAGACGAGAAGCUGUAACUCCCAUCCUUGCCCAGUCGAUGGUGUGUGGCAAAGCUGGUCAGACUGGGGUCCAUGCUCCGAAAAUUGUGAUACAGGUGUCCAGAAUCGAUCUCGAGAAUGCGAUGGCCCUUACCAUGGUGGUGCGCCUUGUGAAGGAGAGGCCAGUGAAGAAGGGGAAUGUAAUACCCAUCCAUGCCCAGUUGAUGGUUACUGGAAACAGUGGGGAGACUGGCAACAAUGUGACAAGACAUGUGGCGGAGGAAAGCAGUCCAGGACAAGAAAGUGCAAGCCCGAGAUGUAUGGUGGUAAACCAUGCCAGGGCAGUGCGACGGAGGAGAGGAACUGUGCGGAAGACCCAUGUCCGGUGGACGGUUACUGGAAGCCAUGGACUGAUUGGACUGACUGCUCCGUGUCUUGCGGUGGAGGCACACAGAACAGGUCAAGGGAGUGUGUCCCGGGCAAGUAUGGAGGUUCAAACUGUUCAGGGGAGUGGUCGGAAACACGAGUUUGCGGCGAGAAACCGUGUCCAGUUGAUGGUGUUUGGGAGAAGUGGCAAGACUGGUCGACGUGCACAGUAUCGUGUGACGGCGGCACAAAAGGCAGGGUACGCGGCUGCAGCGGACCCCUGCAUGGAGGGAAGAACUGUACAGGACCAUGGAAGGAGGAAGAGGCGUGUGGUACUACACCAUGUCCCGGUGAGAUCCCAAGUCACAAUUCAGCUUUUAGACUCGAUAUUUUUUGCAUGUGCUUGAAGAUACUUUGCUCAAUCGCAUGAGCAAUCACGCGAUCUCCUCGCAUAUGAAAUAACUCCGAGAGGACUAUAAAUGUCUUUCAAGGAAUAUACGCGCGUUUUAUUUUCAAUUUGCGCUUUCGUGGCAAGGCAAGGGUUCUAAUCAAAGCGUUUUUUCCAGUGUAUUCUUGUCGUAUCAACGUUCUUUAGGUUUUUGGCAAGAGGCACUCGGUAAGAUAGGCGUAUUUUCUCUCGACAGGAUGAGGUAUAGGAGUACGUGUUCAUGAUGUAGUAAUUUUACUGUCUUAUCACCUUUUUGACAUCACGCACUUUGCACCUCAACCUGAAGAUAAGGGUGCAGAAGUUUCAUUCCAGUGGACGGAGUAUCGAGGACUUGGGGUACUUGGAGUCUGUGUUCGGC